rnacentral:pre_miRNA from 1 species
UAAAUACUCCCUCCGUUCGGAAAUACUUGUCGACAAAAUGAACAAAAAGGGAUGUAUCUAGAUGUAUAUUAGUUCUAGAUACAUCCCUUUUUAUCUAUUUUGAUGACAAGUAUUUUCGGACGGAGGGAGUACUAU